GCCCGGGUAGCUCAGUUGGUUAGAGCGCUGGACUUUUAAUCCAGUGGCCGCGGGUUCAAGUCCCGCCUCGGGUG
rnacentral:tRNA from 1 species